ACGCGUGACAACCUGCCUUUCACAGGGGGAUAACGGAUCGAAAGAUUCACUAAUACCGCAUGAGACCACGGGGGUGCAUACCCCAGGGGUCAAAGGAGGAAUCCGGUGGAAGAUGGGCUCGCGUCCGAUUAGAUAGUUGGUGGGGUAACGGCCUACCAAGUCAACGAUCGGUAGCCGACCUGAGAGGGUGAUCGGCCACACUGGAACUGAGAGACGGUCCAGACUCCUACGGGAGGCAGCAGUGGGGAAUAUUGGGCAAUGGGGGGAACCUGACCCAGCAACGCCGCGUGAGGGAAGAAGGUUUUCGGAUUGUAAACCUCUGUCCUUGGUGAAGAGAGGAAGACGGUAGCCAAGGAAUAAGCCCCGGCUAACUACGUGCCAGCAGCCGCGGUAAUACGUAGGGGGCGAGCGUUACCCGGAAUUACUGGGCGUAAAGGGUGCGUAGGCGGCCUUGCAAGUCCGGUGUUAAAAGCCCUGGCUCAACUAGGGAGAUGCGCUGGAAACUGUAAGGCUUGGGUGCAGCAGAGGCAGAUGGAACUGCUGGUGUAGGGGUGAAAUCCGUAGAUAUCAGCAGGAACGCCGGUGGAGAAGUCGGUCUGCUGGGCUGUGACCGACGCUGAGGCACGAAAGCUAGGGGAGCGAACCGGAUUAGAUACCCGGGUAGUCCUAGCCGUAAACGAUGCUCACUUGGUGUGGGGGCAUAGAGCCUCUGUGCUGAAGCGAACGCGUUAAGUGAGCCGCCUGGGGAGUAUGCCCGCAAGGGUGAAACUCAAAGGAAUUGACGGGGGCCCGCACAAGCAGUGGAGCGUGUGGUUUAAUUGGAAGCUAAGCCAAGAACCUUACCAGGGUUUGACAUGCUGGUGGUACGGACUCGAAAGAGGAAGGACCUUAUCGAAAGAUGAGGAGCCAGCACAGGUGGUGCACGGUCGUCGUCAGCUCGUGCCGUGAGGUGUUGGGUUAAGUCCCGCAACGAGCGCAACCCCUACUCUUAGUUACCAGCACGAAAGGUGGGGACUCUAAGAGGACCGCCGGCGACGAGCCGGAGGAAGGAGGGGAUGACGUCAGAUACUCGUGCCCCUUAUGCUCUGGGCGACACACGCGCUACAAUGGGAUGGACAACGGGAAGCCAGGUAGCGAUACUGAGCAAAACCCUAAAACCAUUCCGCAGUUCAGAUUGUGGGCUGAAACCCGCCCACAUGAAGCUGGAAUUGCUAGUAAUCGCGGAUCAGCCACGCCGCGGUGAAUACGUUCCCGGGCCUUGUACACACCGCCCGUC
rnacentral:rRNA from 1 species